UAGAGUUUGAUCCUGGCUCAGAUUGAACGCUGGCGGCAGGCCUAACACAUGCAAGUCGAGCGGUAACAUGUCUAGCUUGCUAGAUGAUGACGAGCGGCGGACGGGUGAGUAAUGCUUGGGGAUCUGCCUUAGAGUGGAGGAUAACCAUUGGAAACGAUGGCUAAUACUGCAUAGUAUCUGCGGAUUAAAGGGGGCUUCGGCUCUUGCUUUAAGAUGAACCCAAGUGGGAUUAGCUAGUUGGUGAGGUAAUGGCUCACCAAGGCGACGAUCCCUAGCUGGUCUGAGAGGAUGAUCAGCCACACUGGAACUGAGACACGGUCCAGACUCCUACGGGAGGCAGCAGUGGGGAAUAUUGCACAAUGGGCGAAAGCCUGAUGCAGCCAUGCCGCGUGUGUGAAGAAGGCCCUAGGGUUGUAAAGCACUUUCAGUCAGGAGGAAAGGUUAGUAGUUAAUACCUGCUAGCUGUGACGUUACUGACAGAAGAAGCACCGGCUAACUUCGUGCCAGCAGCCGCGGUAAUACGAGGGGUGCAAGCGUUAAUCGGAAUUACUGGGCGUAAAGCGAGCGUAGGCGGCUGAAUAAGCUGGAUGUGAGAAACCGGGGCUCAACCUCGGCCGUGCAUUCAGAACUGUUUAGCUAGAGUCCUGUAGAGGGGGGUAGAAGUUCA
rnacentral:rRNA from 1 species